UACGUAGGGUGCAAGCGUUAAUCGGAAUUACUGGGCGUAAAGCGUGCGCAGGCGGUUCUAUAAGACAGAUGUGAAAUCCCCGGGCUCAACCUGGGAACUGCAUUUGUGACUGUAGAGCUGGAGUGCGGCAGAGGGGGAUGGAAUUCCGCGUGUAGCAGUGAAAUGCGUAGAUAUGCGGAGGAACACCGAUGGCGAAGGCAAUCCCCUGGGACGGUACUGACGCUGAGACGCGAAAGCGUGGGGAGCGAACAGG
rnacentral:rRNA from 1 species